CAGCCGGGGAGUUUCCAACAGCUGCACCUUCUGCAGAUCCCCACGAAGAUUCACUGACCCCCAGACCAGGGGUGUUUGCUAAUCAUGAUAUGAGGCUCUAGUUUCUUUCCAUAAACAGGGUGAGUUGGCUGCAUCGUCUUAGCCACACGAGAAGGAACCAGCUUGCCUGAAGUCCGAUUUCAAACAGGUAUCACCGGAGCAUGGCUGAGGAAUCCUGGGAAAUGACAGCCUC